GGAUGCGAUCAUACCAGCACUAAUGCACCGGAUCCCAUCAGAACUCCGAAGUUAAGCGUGCUUGGGCGAGAGUAGUACUAGGAUGGUGACCCCUGGGAAGUCCUCGUGUUGCAUCCC
rfam:Ipomoea nil DNA, scaffold: scaffold2263, cultivar: Tokyo-kokei standard.